GAUGAACGCUAGCGGCAGGCCUAAUACAUGCAAGUCGUACGGCAACACAGUUGCGAGCAAUCGCAACCGGUGGCGAGUGGCGCACGGGUGAGUAACGCGUAUGUAACCUACCCUUCUCCGGGACAUAACUCCGCGAAAGCGGUGCUAAUAUCCCAUACCAACUCAUCAAGACAUCUUCUUGAGUUGAAAGCAGCAAUGCGGUGAAGGAUGGGCAUGCGUCCCAUUAGCUGGUUGGUGAGGUAAUGGCCCACCAAGGCUACGAUGGGUAGGGGUUCUGAGAGGAAAGCCCCCCACACUGGUACUGAGACACGGACCAGACUCCUACGGGAAGGCAGCAGUAAGGAAUAUUGGGCAAUGGUCGAAAGACUGACCCAGCCAUGCCGCGUGCAGGAUGAAGGCCCUAUGGGUUGUAAACUGCUUUUAGCCGGGAAUAAACACCCGUUUUAUAACGGGCCCGAAGGUACCGGCUGAAUAAGCAUCGGCUAACUCCGUG
rnacentral:rRNA from 1 species